GUUAUAUGGUCAAGUGAAGAAGCGCAUACGGUGGAUGCCUUGGCAGUCAGAGGCGAUGAAAGACGUGGUAGCCUGCGAAAAGCUUCGGGGAGUCGGCAAACAGACUUUGAUCCGGAGAUGUCUGAAUGGGGGAACCCAGCCAUCAUAAGAUGGUUAUCUUGUACUGAAUACAUAGGUGCAAGAGGCGAACCAGGGGAACUGAAACAUCUAAGUACCCUGAGGAAAAGAAAUCAACCGAGAUUCCCUUAGUAGUGGCGAGCGAACGGGGACUAGCCCUUAAGUGGCUUUGAGAUUAGCGGAACGCUCUGGAAAGUGCGGCCAUAGUGGGUGAUAGCCCUGUACGCGAAAAUCUCUUAGUCAUGAAAUCGAGUAGGACGGAGCACGAGAAACUUUGUCUGAAUAUGGGGGGACCAUCCUCCAAGGCUAAAUACUACUGACUGACCGAUAGUGAACUAGUACCGUGAGGGAAAGGCGAAAAGAACCCCGGAGAGGGGAGUGAAAUAGAUCCUGAAACCGUAUGCGUACAAGCAGUGGGAGCCUACUUUGUUAGGUGACUGCGUACCUUUUGUAUAAUGGGUCAGCGACUUAUUUUCAGUGGCGAGCUUAACCGAAUAGGGGAGGCGUAGCGAAAGCGAGUCUUAAUAGGGCGUCUAGUCGCUGGGAAUAGACCCGAAACCGGGCGAUCUAUCCAUGGGCAGGUUGAAGGUUGGGUAACACUAACUGGAGGACCGAACCGACUACCGUUGAAAAGUUAGCGGAUGACCUGUGGAUCGGAGUGAAAGGCUAAUCAAGCUCGGAGAUAGCUGGUUCUCCUCGAAAGCUAUUUAGGUAGCGCCUCAUGUAUCACUGUAGGGGGUAGAGCACUGUUUCGGCUAGGGGGUCAUCCCGACUUACCAAACCGAUGCAAACUCCGAAUACCUACAAGUGCCGAGCAUGGGAGACACACGGCGGGUGCUAACGUCCGUCGUGAAAAGGGAAACAACCCAGACCGUCAGCUAAGGUCCCAAAGUUAUGGUUAAGUGGGAAACGAUGUGGGAAGGCUUAGACAGCUAGGAGGUUGGCUUAGAAGCAGCCACCCUUUAAAGAAAGCGUAAUAGCUCACUAGUCGAGUCGGCCUGCGCGGAAGAUGUAACGGGGCUCAAACCAUACACCGAAGCUACGGGUAUCACGUAAGUGAUGCGGUAGAGGAGCGUUCUGUAAGCCUGUGAAGGUGAGUUGAGAAGCUUGCUGGAGGUAUCAGAAGUGCGAAUGCUGACAUGAGUAACGACAAUGGGUGUGAAAAACACCCACGCCGAAAGACCAAGGUUUCCUGCGCAACGUUAAUCGACGCAGGGUUAGUCGGUCCCUAAGGCGAGGCUGAAAAGCGUAGUCGAUGGAAAACAGGUUAAUAUUCCUGUACUUCUGGUUAUUGCGAUGGAGGGACGGAGAAGGCUAGGCCAGCUUGGCGUUGGUUGUCCAAGUUUAAGGUGGUAGGCUGAGAUCUUAGGUAAAUCCGGGAUCUUAAGGCCGAGAGCUGAUGACGAGCUAACUUUUAGUUAGCGAAGUGGUUGAUGCCAUGCUUCCAAGAAAAGCUUCUAAGCUUCAGGUAACCAGGAACCGUACCCCAAACCGACACAGGUGGUUGGGUAGAGAAUACCAAGGCGCUUGAGAGAACUCGGGUGAAGGAACUAGGCAAAAUGGCACCGUAACUUCGGGAGAAGGUGCGCCGGUGAGGGUGAAGGACUUGCUCCGUAAGCUCAUGCCGGUCGAAGAUACCAGGCCGCUGCGACUGUUUAUUAAAAACACAGCACUCUGCAAACACGAAAGUGGACGUAUAGGGUGUGACGCCUGCCCGGUGCCGGAAGGUUAAUUGAUGGGGUUAGCUAACGCGAAGCUCUUGAUCGAAGCCCCGGUAAACGGCGGCCGUAACUAUAACGGUCCUAAGGUAGCGAAAUUCCUUGUCGGGUAAGUUCCGACCUGCACGAAUGGCGUAACGAUGGCGGCGCUGUCUCCACCCGAGACUCAGUGAAAUUGAAAUCGCUGUGAAGAUGCAGUGUAUCCGCGGCUAGACGGAAAGACCCCGUGAACCUUUACUAUAGCUUUGCACUGGACUUUGAAUUUGCUUGUGUAGGAUAGGUGGGAGGCUUUGAAGCGUGGACGCCAGUUCGCGUGGAGCCAUCCUUGAAAUACCACCCUGGCAACUUUGAGGUUCUAACUCAGGUCCGUUAUCCGGAUCGAGGACAGUGUAUGGUGGGUAGUUUGACUGGGGCGGUCUCCUCCUAAAGAGUAACGGAGGAGUACGAAGGUGCGCUCAGACCGGUCGGAAAUCGGUCGUAGAGUAUAAAGGCAAAAGCGCGCUUGACUGCGAGACAGACACGUCGAGCAGGUACGAAAGUAGGUCUUAGUGAUCCGGUGGUUCUGUAUGGAAGGGCCAUCGCUCAACGGAUAAAAGGUACUCCGGGGAUAACAGGCUGAUACCGCCCAAGAGUUCAUAUCGACGGCGGUGUUUGGCACCUCGAUGUCGGCUCAUCACAUCCUGGGGCUGAAGCCGGUCCCAAGGGUAUGGCUGUUCGCCAUUUAAAGUGGUACGCGAGCUGGGUUUAGAACGUCGUGAGACAGUUCGGUCCCUAUCUGCCGUGGACGUUUGAGAUUUGAGAGGGGCUGCUCCUAGUACGAGAGGACCGGAGUGGACGAACCUCUGGUGUUCCGGUUGUCACGCCAGUGGCAUUGCCGGGUAGCUAUGUUCGGAAUAGAUAACCGCUGAAAGCAUCUAAGCGGGAAACUAGCCUCAAGAUGAGAUCUCACUGGAACCUUGAGUUCCCUGAAGGGCCGUCGAAGACUACGACGUUGAUAGGUUGGGUGUGUAAGCGCUGUGAGGCGUUGAGCUAACCAAUACUAAUUGCCCGUGAGGCUUGACCAUAUAACACCCAAGCAAUU
rnacentral:rRNA from 3 species